UAAUGAAAGGUCGACUGAACAUGAAUUAUAUUAUACAAUUUAAAGCGCAUUUCUGUUUAUGCACGUGAACCUGUCUAACGUUAUUGUAAUUUCGCAGUUAUAUAAAGUAGCAAAUUAUCGUUCCUGAAUAGGUGGCGCCGUGGUAGCGGAUCCUGUUCCUCUACUUCCGGUUUCUGCACUGUGCAACUAUUUCAGUUAUAUUUUUAAUUAACGAUGCCAAGUACUUGUUGUUGUGUACCUGGAUGUCAUUUAAGAGGAGGACAUGCAUUUCCAAAUGACUUAAAAAGAAGGAAAAGUUGGAUCAACGCUAUGGCCCAUACGCAGAUUGGACGAGAACACGAUGAUAUCGUGGAGUCCAUCUCAAUCAGCUGUUUUUUGCAAGGCACGUUUUACUGAAAAAGACUACGUGCAGGAAACUAUUCAUGGGCGCAAACCCACCAUACAGAGACUUAAGUCUACUGCCAUUCCCAGCCUAUUUUCCUGGACCAAGCAAGAGACUGAAUCGUCCGCAAAAAGAAAAAUCAGGGCAGUUUCCUGUAAAAACAAAAGAACUAAACUUGAUGAAUAUUGUAGUAGAAAUCUAGAGGAAAGUUUUGAUUGUAAAGUUGGUUUUCCUGAUGAAGUCAUUCAUACUGCAGAAAGGAUUUAUGACUGUCCACCACCAACUGCCGAGCUAAUGUUGAGCUUCACAGAUGGAAUUACGCAAACACCAUCAAUACCUAUGUUUUCAGCAGAGAAUUUUGAAAUGAAGACACGUGACACAGCCAUGCAUUUUUAUACCGGUUUAGAGUUGUAUACUAAAUUUUUAUUUGUUUUGACCACACUUGGUCCAGCAGCACAUUGUUUGAGAUACAUAUAUUUUCAAAUUGAUAGGGUGUCAGUUGAAAAUCAGUUUUUUUAUGACUUUGAUGAAAUUGAGGCAUCAUACAACCAACUUUGAACUGCCUAGAUUCUAGAUUGAAUCUAGUGUUAAGAACAUUGUGUAUACAUGGAUUGUUUUUAUGUCUAAACAGUGGUGUGAGGCUAACACUUGGCCAUCUAGUGGUUUAGUCAGGUAUUUUUCACCAUCCAACUUCAAAUUAAAGUUUCCUACGACUUGGAUUAUUAUUGACAGCACAGAAUAUCCCGUGAUAAAACCUAAAGCUCCUAGAGCUCAGGCAACCUUUUCAUCAAAUAAAAACAGAAACACUGAAAAUUCUUGAAUGUUCGACACCUGGUGGUUUAGUCAACUAUGUCUCUAUGUCACAUAGAGCGAAUUAUUGGACUUGGCAAAACAUACAAAAUUCUAAUAAAUCCUAUGAAUGGAACUGAAACAAAACUUUCAUCUGAAAUAACAUUUAGUUGUUUUAUGUUGUGUAAUUUUAGAACUUGUAUUGUGCCAAAGGAUGCAUAAAUAAAAGUGACGCAAUGAAUUUUGUUCUGAUAUAUAUAUAUUUACAAUUACAUGCACAUGUAAAUUGUAAUGCAUAUAAAAAUAAGGAGAUGUGGUAUGAUUUUCAGUGAGUUUAUCAAACUAAAGUGCAUAAGAAAUGGGUUUAAGCAGUUACAGGUGUUACUGUCACCGUACAAUCUCCAACAAUGAGAAAAACUCGUACCCUGUAAAAAAUUUCUGAGAUCUUACAUCUAAGUUUUGUUGUCUCACCUUGACUUUGGUGAAUUUUUUAUAUUUG